rnacentral:rRNA from 1 species
UUUGAUCCUAGCUCAGGAUGAACGCUCGCUGUGUGCCUAAUACAUGCAUGUUGAACGGGAUGUAGCAAUACAUUCAGUAGCGAAUGGGUGAGUAACACGUACCUAACCUACCUUUAAGACUGGGAUAACUAUUGGAAACAAUAGCUAAUACCGGAUAUAGUUAUUUAUCGCAUGAUGAGUAAUAGAAAGGAGCUUCACAGCUUCACUUAAAAAUGGGGGUGCGGAACAUUAGUUAGUUGGUAGGGUAAUGGCCUACCAAGACGAUGAUGUUUAGCCGGGCCGAGAGGCUGUACGGCCACACUGGGACUGAGAUACGGCCCAGACNNNNNNNNNNNNNNNNNNNNNNNNNNNNNNNNCGGCCCAGACUCCUACGGGAGGCAGCAGUAAGGAAUUUUCCACAAUGAGCGAAAGCUUGAUGGAGCGACACAGCGUGCAGGAUGAAGUUCUUCGGAAUGUAAACUGCUGUUAUAAGGGAAGAAAAAAUAGAAUAGGAAAUGAUUUUAUCUUGACGGUACCUUAUUAGAAAGCGACGGCAAACUAUGUGCCAGCAGCCGCGGUAAUACAUAGGUCGCAAGCGUUAUCCGGAAUUAUUGGGCGUAAAGCGUCCGUAGGUUUUUUGCUAAGUCUGGAGUUAAAUGCUGAAGCUCAACUUCAGUCCGCUUUGGAUACUGGCAAAAUAGAAUUAUAAAGAGGUUAGCGGAAUUCCUAGUGAAGCGGUGGAAUGCGUAGAUAUUAGGAAGAACACCAAUAGGCGAAGGCAGCUAACUGGUUAUAUAUUGACACUAAGGGACGAAAGCGUGGGGAGCAAACAGGAUUAGA